rnacentral:sRNA from 1 species
UCUCGUCCGCAGGCCAGUCGGACUGGUCCGGGUGACCUGCUCACUAACUCUGGCCUCUGCUUCUCUUUCCUUUGUGUUGCUGUAGCCCCCGGCUCCACUGAGUUAAGGCACACUUAGUCCAGGACCAGUUACAGAAGUGGAUCCGCGGUAAUGUGAGUGCAUGUGCGAACUCUGUUUUCAUAUUUGACGAGAUGGAUAAAUUGCAUCCCGGGAUCAUUGACGCAAUCAAGCCGUUUCUAGACUACUACGAGCAGGUUGACGGAGUGUCUUACCGCAAAGCCAUCUUCAUCUUUCUCAGCAAUGCAGGCGGGGACCUUAUAACUAAGACGGCUCUUGACUUUUGGCGGGCCGGAAGAAAGAGGGAAGACAUUCAGCUGAAGGACCUGGAACCUGUACUGUCUGUCGGAGUCUUCAAUAAUAAACACAAGUUCACUGACCUGAAGUAUACUCAGUUAAAAUCGGGGGUGGAGGUGCAGACGGUGUCUGACCGGAGGAUGUGGCCGUGCCCGCUGAGCA